CUUAAAACGCAAUUAGAUGAGUAUGAAAAGGAGAGUCAGAAAUCAGACAGUGAGGUUAGUAGUCAUCAUUGUGUGCCAAGAAGUUGCUCAAAAAUGCAAAAAGGACUAUCUGUAAAUCCCCUCCUUAUUAUGAUUUUCCCACACCAGACCAGGUUUUCAUAAAACAGUCUCAAAGAAAAGAUGUGAGUAAUUCAGAGAAAAC